rnacentral:rRNA from 1 species
AACGAACGCUGGCGGCAGGCCUAACACAUGCAAGACGAACGCUCCGCAAGGAGAGUGGCAGACGGGUGAGUAACACGUGGGAAUCUUCCUAUUGGUUCGGAAUAGCUCAGGGAAACUUGGGGUAAUACCGGAUAAGCCCGAAAGGGGAAAGAUUUAUCGCCGAUAGAUGAGCCCGCGUCUGAUUAGCUAGUUGGUGAGGUAAUGGCUCACCAAGGCGACGAUCAGUAGCUGGCCUGAGAGGAUGACCAGCCACACUGGGACUGAGACACGGCCCAGACUCCUACGGGAGGCAGCAGUGGGGAAUAUUGGACAAUGGGCGCAAGCCUGAUCCAGCCAUGCCGCGUGAGUGACGAAGGUCUUCGGAUUGUAAAGCUCUUUUGCCAGGGACGAUAAUGACGGUACCUGGAGAAUAAGCCCCGGCUAACUUCGUGCCAGCCGCCGCAGUAAAAC